AUUCUUAUUAGUUUAUAAAACACUUACUUUGGAUGUAAGAAAAACUAAAAUU
rnacentral:tRNA from 1 species